CCGGGCCAAGGGCUUGACUCCAGUGACCCUACUGGCCACCAGUGUCACCAGAGGGUCCCAGGAACCCGGUUGGGGUUGCGGGAGCCGGAGUUCACUGGAGAGGCACGAGUCGCCGGAGCCCCUCGACCCGGUAGUGUCGGCGGAGGGGCGUCCGGCUGGGCAGGAGGAGUGUAGACCUCCCGGUGUCCCUGUGUCUGGGAAAGAAGCCCUGGCUCAACUUUCUGCUUUGAAGAGGCCCUAAUUAAUCCAGCGGGAGCGAGGAUUAAGCUGCGACUUUGCGCGCUGACACCCAGUAGGCCGCUGCGCGCUGAAGAGGCACUGGCGGGAACCACGCCCGGGCGAAUCCCAAGCUCCCCGCCAGCGGCGCUAGGAAGUAUUUGACAAGUGUCGGCAAGGACUGAAUAUUACGCUUGCGGUAUGCAGAGAGACAUUGUGGGGAUAAAAAGAAGUCAGAGAAGCUUCUAAUAGCUGUGUGGUCUGUGUGGGCUGGCAUGACUGACUGGUAUCAAGAUGGGCCCCCAAAAUAUAGCCAGUUUUCCCUACCAGUUUUCUCCAAGGGGCCUUUUGAGUCUCGCAUGGCCCCCCGGGCUGAAGUGCAAUGGCAUGAUCUCAGCUGACUGCAACCUCGGCCUCCCAGGUUCUCGCGAUUCUCCUGCCUCAGCCUCCCGAGUAGCUGGGAUUACAGGUGCACACAACCACACCCGGCUAAUUUUUUGUAUUUUUAGUAGAGACGGGGUUUCACUAUGUUGGCCAGACUGGUCUUGAACUCCUGACCUCGUGAUCCACCUGCCUCGAACAUUUACAGAAAUCACGUGAAACAUUAACCAAAAUAGAACAAUAUGCUGGGACAUAAACCAAUCUCAAUAAAUGAAGGGCAGAAAUCAUACAUUGUAAAUUCUCUGACUACAAUGGAUUAAGCGAGAAAUUGGUAACAGAAAUAUAACCAGGAAAAAUAAGCAAAAACUUACAGUUGACAAAAAGCAUUUGGAUCCCUGAUGAUUCUGCCAUGGGCCAGAAUAAGGCUGAAGCUGGCUGAGUGAUACAUGUGGGUCAUCAUUCUUCUUGCCUGAAAAAUAAAAGUAGAGUUCCUGAGACGAGACUCGUGGGUAGCAUGAUGAGAUAUGUGCUCCCAGAGCCGCCUGCAAAGAGCAGACUCCCUACCUGGCACCAUUAGGUAGCUUUCUGUUGUUACUAUCUGGAAAGAAUUGGGAGGAAAGUGAUGAAUGUCUUACCCAUAUAGAAGAGCCCUCUACAUUCUGAAAUAUUUACAAAUGAAGUGAGGUUUACUUCAAAACUUAAUGGGAGGGAGGUCUAAAUGGGGACAUAGAUGAAACAAGAUAGGCCAUGAAUUGGUAAUGAUGAAGCAGAGUGUUGGGUGUGCAGGGAAUCAUUACACUCUUCUAUUUGGUACAUGUUUUACAUUUUUCCAUAAUAAAAAUAUGUUUUAAAGAAUGGGAA
rnacentral:lncRNA from 1 species